UUGAGGAUAAUUUAUACAUGGAAAACCGGUUUGUUAAAGCAUAGUGAGAAAUUGAUGGAUUAAAAUUCUGUAUCACUGAGUUUUGAAACUUGGUCUGAAGAGCUGGAAAGAAAUGAAACCAAUGGCACCCAAUAUUUCCAAUGGAUUGGACUGUGGCUGGAUGCAAUCUUCCGAAUCAGGGGGUUUCUGUGAACUUCCAGACAUAUUGGAUGAUCAAUAAAGAAGCCGUAAAUUGCAUAACAUGGAACUCUCAAAAGAAGAAGAAUGAAAUUGAGUACAGAGAAGCAAGCUUUUGUAAUAUAACAAAGGCAGGCUCUGAAAGAUGAGUACAAGCAAUACAACAAGAACUGAAGCUCAGCUCCAUCACUGAAAAAAAAAGAAAGAAACAGCAUCUUCUACAAGGAGAUUAGUUGGUUUUGAAGCUGCUCCAUAACUCAUCGAUUGUGAAGUCUAUUAGCGCCACCGGGUGUCAUCCUCUUCUGUUCUUUGGAGGCAUUGUUGCCCUCUAAUCUAAAGCCAUGGCUGCUGAACCUUCCCCGGCUGAAGCUUCUGCUGCUGCUGCUUUUGUUUCUCCGUAUCUUGAAUGGAAUGCCUUCUGAGCCUGAAGAAUCCUGCAACUUGCCCCCAUCACCACCAUGCACCAAAUUCACUUCCAACAGCAGAGAGACCAGAGAGACAACAAUUAAUAUUCUCCUGAAUCUCAUGUUUUCCUUCUCUGUCUGGACUCUGGACUACUGUUAAUUGCCUUGAAUUAACAGAGAUGAGGAAAAAAAGCUUGCCAACAUCUGAUCUCUGUGUAUGCAUGUAGAAUAUAUAUAUGACCUGAGUCAGUAGAUUGGUAGGCCAGUACUCCGUGCGAUUGAGGAUGGGGUCUAGCACAGGUACUGAACAUUGAAGUAGGGGACUUUUUAGUUUUCCCCUUUGGGUUAAUUUUUAUUUACUUCGUUCAGUAACAUCCCCCUUUUUGUGCACAUGGAUGCUGCUCCUCAUAUUGCGGGCCUCCAUGUGUCCAUGUAGCAAUACAGUAGCUUGUGACAUUCUCUAGUUGAUUUUAAGCCUCUAAUGUUAUAGGCUUAUAGCACAAUUCACUUAAGAAAUUAGUUGGGUGGGAGUGAAUAUAAUAUUGGAGAAGUACUAGCACUAGAUAUAUAGAAGCUUCACCUUAGUAUGAUUGUCCAUUUGUUAUUAUUUUAUCCUAAAACUCUCUAUCAAAAUCUUCUAGAAUCAAGAACAAACUUUUAAAUUUUUAUUUUUAUUUUUAUUUGUAUUUUCAACACCAUGCUUCAUUUUUACAUGCAGUCAAAUAAAAUAUUAAAAAUUAUAUUACUAUAUUUUAAAAUAAACUAUUAGGGUUUGUUUGAAAAAUAUUUUUAAAAUAUGUAUGAAAAAAAAAAUUAAAAACAAAUUUUGAAAAAAAAUUAUUUUUAAUAUUUUGUAAAACAAAAAUUUGUUUGAAAAUCGAAAUAUUUUUAACAUAUUUUUUGUAUUUUUACAAAUCUUUUAAAAUUAACUUUUAAAUGCAGUGUUUAAUUUUUAAUUAUUCUUCAUAUUUAUAUAGGUUUUUUUUAAAUAAUUAUUAGAAAAUAAGUAAAAAUAAUUUAAAAAAUGUUUUGUGUUUUUUUAGAAUAACAAAAAACCGUUUUUAAAAAUACAUACUAAACAAACGCUUAAUACCCCUGUUUUUCUUUUUUCAUUUUUUUGCUUUUUUCUUAUUUCUUCUCUCUCGCUGUGAAAAAUAAUCAAAACAUCUAAUACCCUGUUCUUUAUGUUCGUUUUUUUUUACUCUACUAAAAUGAAAUUUAAUAUUUCAUCUUACCAUUAUUUUAGUUAAUGAUGGUUUUGAUAUUGUUGAUAUUUACCUUAUGUAUAAAUAAAUUAUUAUUUUGAUAAGAUUUUUUAGUUAGGUCAAUUGAAAAUUUAAUCUUAAUUAAUUAAGUUCUUUAUGAAUACGACCCAACCCAAUUAUAGUUAAGUUUAAAUUUAAUUUUAAUUAUUUUUGUUAAUUAAAACUCAAUCAUAAUUAAGUUCGGAUGAAUAUUUGAAUUGGAACUGAAUCUCAAUCUUCUUCUAAAAUUUCCAUUUCUUUUUUUUUUUCGCUCAUUCUCUUUAAUUUUUCUUUCUUAUUUUCUUUCCCUAACUAUUUAAAUGACGAAUUUACUUUUUAUAUUAAACUUGUAUUUUGAAAAGAGAAGUUCACUUUUUAUAAAUAUAUUGGUCUUUUUAAAUGAUGAGUUCCAUUUUUAUCUUAAAAACUUUUAUACUAAUCUCAUCUUUUCACUUUUAUAUAUAUAUCACUUUUCACCAAAUGUACCUUUCAACUAAUUAUCUAGUGUUUGAAAUUAGAUUAUUAAUCACUUUUAAUAUUUUUCUCUCAUAAUUAAAAAUGUAAAAUAUAUCACAACCAAAAUUUAAAAUAUUUGAAUAUAUCACCGAUACCAAUAUUUCACCAUUUUUUUUUCUCGCAUUUCAAUAGAUAUUUCACUCAUUUUUUUUUUCAAAUAUUAAAUAAAAUUAAUUCUAAUUAUUUUAUUUUUUAUAUUUGAUUUAAUUUAUUACCAAACAUAUUAAUCCAUAUAUUUAUCAAAUAAAAAAAUUUAAAUUUUUAAAAAUUAUACAUAUAUUAUUAUUUAUUUGAUAUCAUUGAAUAUAUUUUAAAAUUUGACAUGUUAUCACAAUAUUAUUGUAAAAUAAUAUAUAAUGCAACUUAAUAAUAAAUGUAUACUUAUAAAAUUUAUAUUUUUUUAUCAAUGUAGUGUUAUUAUUAUCAAAUAUGAUAAAUUAUAUAAAUUAAUUCUUUAAAAAAAUUCUUUAAAAUGUCUAUUUUUACUUCUUAUACAAAUUUUUAAAGUUUUUUUUUUUUAAUAUUUUCAUAAUUUUUAUUAAUUUUUGUCACUAAUAUUUUGUGACAAAAUAUAUUUAUGUCGAUAAAUAUAUAUCCAUAAACUCGAAGUACUCAUAUAUUUAUAACUACCUAUCUUUUAAUCCUUAUCACAACAACCAAUUUCCACUAAUAAAAAGAUAAUAUUUUGGUAAUUAUUUUUCUAAAAUAAAUAAUAUAUAUAUAUAUAUAUUACCUUGCUCAUUUCAUUUCUCCCUUCAUCACAUGCUAUUUGUUUCAUCCCUUUUUAAAAAAAUCCAUAAUUUAGGGGUAUGACGUUGUACGAAGAUAUGAAUAUUUUAUCACUAGCUUAUCAUACAAAUGUCAUGUAAAAUUGUAGAUAUAACACAAAGAUAAAUUAAAAUAAAUUUAUAUUUAUGAGAAAUUAUCAGAAUGAAUAAAAAUACUUAUGUCUACUAGUGCACAUUUUGUUAUUAUCUAAUAUUACAAUAAUCACUUAUAUUAUUUUCCUUAAAAAACUAAUUUAAGAUACAUAUUAUUAAUUUUUUUAAUGAAUUUUCAUAGUUUUUUUUUAUUCUUUCUCUCAAUAUUUCCUUAAAAUCAAAGUAUAAUAGAAAUGAUUAUUGGAUUUUUGAUUUUUUUUUUCAAAUUAAAUUGAUAUUUUCAUCGAUACCUAUACUUUUAAUAUAGUUUAUCUUCUAUUUUCCUAUUUUAAUCAUUCGUGUUUGAUUUAUUUUUCAUAUUUAUUUCGCCAAUUUACCAUUAUUAUUGUUAUUAGGGCUAUUUGAUUAAAAGGAUCACUAAAAAUUUAAUUUAAAAAAUCUAUUUUUUUUUCACAUUUUGAUAAAAAUAUUCUUAUUUUUUUUAAAUAACUCUUUUAGAAAAAAAACUAAAUAUAAAUACUUAAAAUGAUUAAGGGUAUUUAUGUAAAAAAAAUUAUUUAUUAAAUAAUAAUAUGAAAGAGAUUAAAUUCAUAAAUACAAAUAUUAUUCAAUCCUUUUAAGUUUUAACCAAUUUAUUAUUAUUAUUAUUAUUAUUAUUACAUGGGAAAGAAAUAUAAAAAAUGUAAAACUUGAAAAAGGAGUGAGGAGAGUGGGUGCGCAUUGUACAUCCCCAAGUGCCACCGUUUGGUCCGUUUCCCAAGCCGAGAUACGUGUACCCUCCAAAGCCAUUUGCAAAAGUUCCAGAACUCAAAUGUUAAGAGUCUUAAGACCAAAGCUCCGCUUCGGCGCUAUGUCUGGCGCUGCGAUUUUCCCAUCUUCUUCUUCUCUAGCCCUCAAAAACCCUAAUCUUUCAAUCUCUUCCGAUCAGAGGUUCUUCAAUGGAAUUCUCUUCAAGAACGGCUCCAUUCUCCACGAUCGCUUCCCCAACGCUUCACUUCGCUGCUUCGCAUCCGCGGCUACUUUUGACCGAGUUCGAGUUCAGAACCCUAUCGUCGAAAUGGAUGGUAAGUGUGAUCAAACUCUGGUGUUUUGGUAGUCAGUGUAAUUCUGCGUUCGGUUGCGGAGAAAGGGAGGAAAAAAGGAAAGGAAAUGGAAGUCUGAAUCUUAUGGCUUCUUUUUGUUGUCCUAGCUUCCAGACAAAAUGAGAAUGGUUUUGUUGAUAUCCAAAAUUUUGUUUUAUAACGGCUAGAAUUUUGUGCCCAUGCGUUUUCUCAGCAACCAAGCAGAGUAUAAGUUGCUCAACUUUUCAUUUUUCCAUUUUGAAAUCUAAUUCUAUCGCUGUUGUAUAUUUAUUUUCUUCGUCUAGGUGAUGAGAUGGCGCGAAUUAUGUGGAGAAUGAUUAAAGACAAAGUAAGAAUCAAGCUUUGCUCUGAUUUUCUUAUGCUUUUGUGGAGGCAUUUUAAUUCCGUCCUAAUGGAGUUUUUUUUUAAAAAAACUUUUUUCUUCUUGAUUGCAGCUUAUCUUUCCUUAUCUGGAUUUAGAUAUAAGAUAUUUUGAUUUAGGAAUACUGAAUCGCGAUGCAACUGAUGAUAAAGUCACAGUAGAAAGUGCUGAAGCCACUCUGAAGUAAGUGGGCAGAAUGUGAUUUCGUUUGGUGACAUUUUAUUCAUAGAGGGAUAUUCAAAUUGAAUUUCAGUUAAUUCCUCUCAUUCGUGCAGCUCUUUUGUAGCUUGGCUUGUUGAGUUCUUUAUUUCGCUUUAGGUUAUUUAUUUCUCGGUGUUGAUUGCCACUUGCAGUUGAAUUUGGUUAUUUUUGGUUUAAUUUGAUUACUGUUGGCUUAUGGGUGUUUAUACAGAGACUUAAGAUUAGUUCAUAUCAGAUUUCUAGGUUUGCUUGUAUGGAAUUUCUAGUUACCGUUUUCUUCCAAAAGCUUGUAGGCCACUGGUUUUCACUAUAAUUGCAUCAUCUAUCAGUCUUGUCUAAAAAAAUUGGUGAACUGCUCUCAUCCAUAAAUGUCUAUGUUUUAUGUCCUUUUUUUUGGUGUGGAUAAAAAAAAUCUAUCCUUUAUGUCCCUUUUUAGUGUUUCUAUUUUUUAUCCAAUCAUGUUUGUCCAUUGAUACAUUUGAAAUUAUUUUUUAUGCUGUGGAUGAAUAUUUAUUGGUUUCAGUUGUAGAAGGCUUUGAAUGUUUAGUUGCUGAAUUUCUACCAGGCCUCCAU
rnacentral:lncRNA from 1 species